AGAGAGAGAGAAAGAGGUUUUACUUUGGUAUACCUAAUACCGUAUAUAAUUCCUAUUUAACAUAACGAUAAAUAAAGAUAACAGAAGCUAUAUAUUUUCCUUAUUUAGUUAACCCAUUAUCAACAUUUCUACUUAGUAUUUUUCUAAACGUAGCUAAGUUUAUUCCCCGAAGUUGCUACAAAGUCGCAACGAAAAACCUACGCAACGAGAAGAAGGAAACUUUUCAGCUGUUUAUGAAAGUAAACGAUUUACGUCUCUAAGCGAAAUUAUGCAGAUGAUGAACGAGAAGGCACGUUAAACGAUAACAAGUUUUUACGAUGAUUUCGCCUCGACUUCGUUCGGCCAAGUCAAGCCAUGACGACGGUAUUAUAUUCAAUGUGUGUACGAACGUGGCCGAUUUACUGAAAAAGCUGAUCCUCGAGUCAUGCCUUUCAAUGAGAUUUAAAAGGCAUGUUCCUUCAUAUCCACGUGAGCCCGAUUACGUACUACUAACAACACUCUAUAAAUAGAAAAUGAAACCAAGAUAUUUAACCUCAGUAAAUGUAAGAUUAUUGGUUUACAUGGUGCACAAAAGCUGUUAUUCUUUUACUCGUCUGCGUUCAAAGAGAUUUAUGACAGCUCUACAUUUCUUCAUUGAAUGCAAAUUGUCUGAUAUCUACUACAAGUAUCCAACGACA